GGUGAACCGCGAGGUCACGAACACUUUUCGAAGUAAAACGGACCACAAGAUCUGGAGCAGUUGUGAACCCCGAGGUCACGAACACUUUUCGAAGUAAAACGGACCGCAAGAUCUGGAGCAGCUGUCAAGAAGAAUAAACAGAUUCUGUGAGUAUCCCAAUUGAACCAUGAAGAAGAAACUGCGAACUGUAAGUCCAGAUCUUUCCUUUUUGGGGCAUCAUUUUGGCCCCCUGUUUGGUCUGGUUGGUCAGGGUCGAUGGGUGAAGAUUGAUAUAGUUAAAACUUAAAGUAGUGCAGUAUAGGUUCUAAGUGAAUGGUGUACCACUAGUUGGAUCUUUAUGGGUAAAGCUAUAACAUACUACAGGGUUGUGUUCAGACUUUCUUCUGCCCACUUCGCCACUACUUCCCUGAACCUUGCAUCACUUUACGUGUGUGUUGUCUUACUGAUGCGGGUCUGGUCUGAGCGAUCAGAGAUGCAUGCUAGGGUACUGUGCUGUCUGAAGUCUACAGUUCUGUAGACGUGCCCUCUCAGGGGAAACCAAGUGUUUA